rnacentral:rRNA from 1 species
AUUGAACGCUGGCGGCAUGCCUUACACAUGCAAGUCGAACGGCAGCGGACCUUCGGGUGCCGGCGAGUGGCGAACGGGUGAGUAAUAUAUCGGAACGUACCUUUCAGUGGGGGAUAACGUAGCGAAAGUUACGCUAAUACCGCAUAUUCUGUGAGCAGGAAAACAGGGGAUCGCAAGACCUUGCGCUGAUUGAGCGGCCGAUAUCAGAUUAGCUAGUUGGUGAGGUAAAGGCUCACCAAGGCGACGAUCUGUAGCGGGUCUGAGAGGAUGAUCCGCCACACUGGAACUGAGACACGGUCCAGACUCCUACGGGAGGCAGCAGUGGGGAAUUUUGGACAAUGGGCGCAAGCCUGAUCCAGCCAUGCCGCGUGAGUGAAGAAGGCCUCGGUUGUAAG